UCCGACUUGGAGUCGGCAGUCUCGCAUGAAAUAAGUAACAUACGAUGUGGGUUGCGCUCGUUUCCUGACUUAACAGUACACCUCAAGGCACGAGCUGACGACAACCAUGCAACACCUGUCAUCGAGUUCCUUGCGGCACUCCCCCAUUUCUGGAGGAUUCUCGAGAUGUCAAGUCCUGGUAAGGUUUCUCGCUUAUUAUCGAAUUAAACCACAUGCUCCACCGCUUGUGUAGGUCCCCGUCUAUUCCUUUGAGUUUUAGCCUUGCGGCCGUACUACCCAGGCGGGAUACUUAAUGCGUUAGCUUAGGCACCAAGGGGGUCGAAUCCCCUGAUACCGAGUAUCCAUCGUUUACAGCGUGGACUAC
rnacentral:misc_RNA from 1 species